rnacentral:rRNA from 1 species
GAAGAGGAUGGGCAUGCGGCGCAUUAGCUAGACGGCGGGGUAACGGCCCACCGUGGCGACGAUGCGUAGGGGUUCUGAGAGGAAGGUCCCCCACACUGGUACUGAGACACGGACCAGACUCCUACGGGAGGCAGCAGUGAGGAAUAUUGGUCAAUGGGAGAGAUCCUGAACCAGCCAAGCCGCGUGAGGGAAGACGGCCCUAUGGGUUGUAAACCUCUUUUGUCGGAGAACAAAACCCGGGACGUGUCCCGGACUGCGUGUAUCCGAAGAAAAAGCAUCGGCUAACUCCGUGCCAGCAGCCGCGGUAAUACGGAGGAUGCGAGCGUUAUCCGGAUUUAUUGGGUUUAAAGGGUGCGUAGGCGGUCCGUUAAGUCAGCGGUAAAAUUGCGGGGCUCAACCCCGUCGAGCCGUUGAAACUGGCAGACUUGAGUUGGCGAGAAGUACGCGGAAUGCGCGGUGUAGCGGUGAAAUGCAUAGAUAUCGCGCAGAACUCCGAUUGCGAAGGCAGCGUACCGGCGCCAGACUGACGCUGAGGCACGAAAGCGUGGGGAUCGAACAGGAUUAGAUACCCUGGUAGUCCACGCAGUAAACGAUGAAUGCUGGUUGUCCGGGUCGAAUGAGACCUGG